GGGGGUGUGGCAGAGCGGUCUAUUGCACCAGACUGUAAAUCUGGCGGGCUUUCGCCCUUCGGUGGUUCAAAUCCAUCCGCCCCCACCA
rnacentral:tRNA from 1 species